UUCCGUGGUGAGGCAGGCACACUCGGAGAAGUACCGGUGUGGCUGGAAUUUGGCUGGUUUUCAUGUCUGUGACCAGGUUGAGAUUUAACCUGGAAGCAUUGAAAUGGGGUUAUUUUUUAGGCCAAAGUACUAAAAGUGUCACAUGUACGCAAGGUCUAUAAAAAUACUUCUUAGAAAGAACCAAGGACGAGUUGUCUUAGUUCAGGUUUUGCUUAAGGAUUCAGAGGUCAGUUUUAUUUGAGGAUAUGCUGAAAUCACUUUCUUUGUUGUAAGAAAGCAUCUUAUUCCUGAAAUGUUUUGAGCACUAAGGAGAUAGCUUUUGGUGGUUGAAAAUUAAUUGAUUGAAUAGGCAAGGUAUUCACAUGGUUCAAAACUUUAAAGGAAAUAAAAAGCCAUACGGUGAAAUCUUCCCUCCUAUCUCGCUGUUCACCUCCCCGGGUCUGUGUGCAUCCUUCUAAAAUCUCUUGAAUUUCUUUAGAAACAAAUAUAAACAUAGUGAUUCUUUUCCCCUGCUUCUGUUUUAAUGCAAAAGCUGGAGUAUAAUGCAUAUUCUUUUGUUCAUUGAAUUUUUUACUUAAUAUUUUGGAGAUCUUUCCAUAUAGUACAUAGAAGACUUCACCGUUCAGUUCUGCAGACACAGGGCGUUCUGUCACACAAGUUGUACCGUGACUUAUUUAAUAGAGAUCCUAGGGAUGGGCAUUUGGGCUGUUUAUAGUCUUCUGGUAGAAGACAGAUCUUGCUGCUGAAAAUUACCUUGUAUGGGUACAAGUUUGUUUAUAAGAUCCACUUCCAGAAAUGAAAUUUUUGAGCCAGAGGAUGUUGUUUACAUUUGUGAUUUUAAUAGAUACUGGUAAAUUGCUUUCCACGCGGUCUUGUUCUAGUAGUUGCUCUCACCUCGCUAGCAAUAUAUGAAAGUUCGUAAAGCUUUGGAGAUGUGCAUUUAUCUUCCCAUAGCAAAACUGCAGUUUCCAGUUCAGAUUAAUGAAUUUCUAGACAGACUACUUGAAAUUGUUAAACAUAUGUCCGAAUAAGGAUCUCAUCCCCAUUCAAUCAUCUUUCCAGACUUACCUUAUUCUUUACCAUUUGCUCUUUCUGGAGCUUUUCCUUGGAAAACUGAGAUGGACAUGAAGGAAAUUUGAUGACGAGCUGUUCUUCAACUAACAUUGUAUGUGAGCAGAAGGGCCUUUUUGCCUCAAUUUCUUCUCUAAUUAUUAUUCAAAGCAAACUAAAAGCCUAUGGUUAACAUGAGCUUUGUAGUGUUAUUCUUUAUUUUCUUUCUUUCUUUUUUUUUAAGAUUUUAUUUAUUUAUUUGACAGACAGAGAUCACAAGUAGACAGAGAGGCAGGCAGAGAGAGAGGGAGAAGCAGGCUCCCCGCUGAAGCAGAAAGCACGACACAGGACUUGAUCCAAGGAACCUGAGAUCAUGACCUGAGCUGAAGGCAGACACUUAACCCACUGAGUCACCCAGGGACCCCUAUUCUUUUUUUUCUUAAUAUAGUCUGCUUUGUCUAUUUUUUCUCCAAAAAAUUCUGACUAUAAGAAGGCAUUUCAUAAUGCUGAAGAAGCUGAGAUAACCAGUGCUCUUCUUGAAAUUUCCUUCCUCAUUCUUGAGAUGUUUAUGGUUUCACAUAUGUUAUUAAGCUCCUUCUUGAGUGUUGUAAAAAUGAGUAGUGAGCUGUAGUGAGGGCUUCUAUCUUUUUUUCUUACUCAAACACAUAUAAUGUAUACUUUAUUCCAGUGUGAACAUCUGAUCUUCCCUUUUUUUUAGUAAAAAAAAGGGGGGGGGGGAGAUUAUCUUUGAUUUCAGAUUCUAUAUAUAGAAGAAUAUGUACAGAUGUCAUUUCUCUUAAAAGUGGUUCAUUGGCUCAUAGAAUUAGUAACGUGAGUCACUGUUAAAAGAAGCCCUGCUUGUGUUCCCUCUCUUGCUGUGUCUCUCUCUGUCAAAUAAAUACAUAAAAUCUUAAAAAAAAAAAAGUUUGGUAAAAACAUGCUUAGAGAACACCAUCCCCAUCCCAGUCCCCAGGCUUCUCUCUCCCAACGGUUAGAGCAGAGGAUGCCGCCUGCCAAACGUACGUGGGGACAAACGUCCGUACUCCUGCAGGGGAAGCACUGUGCUCCCCAAGGUGGGGGAAGUGAGCCCGAGUCUGGAUGUGCUCCCGGUGGCAGGAAGGAACCAAGAGGGCUCAACGUGAGAUCUGUCUCCGCGGCCACGGACGCCCACGUGAUUUCGCCUCUGUGUGUCUUGGGAUCUUCACUUGUAGCAAGGUUGAUUGGCUGGGAUGAUCCCCAAGGUCCCUUUUAGUCUUGGUCCCUCUGGUUUUAUGGUUUCUAGUCCCUCCUCUGUUGUUGUCAUUGGCAGGCAUGCACGCUGCUGGGUCGGGGAUACCCUUGGUCUCCAGAAUGCGGAGCACAGGCAGAAAGCUCUCUGACUCUGGUGGCCACGAGAGGUCCCCACCUGCUCCCUGUGCCCUGCGGAGGUCUCCUUGUCAGCACUGUUACUUUGGCUCACGAAAGCUGAACAGACAAAAAGAAUUCCCAAGAGUCCCUGACACCCAACGUGGAGCUCCUCCUCUCGUUCGUGCUCCUCCCCUGACUUCCUCCUUUCCUAAGAACACCGUAGUCCUCCCAGUGAUCCUGCCCUGGACGCUGCAGAAUCAGUCUCGCCUCGGGGCCUCGAGCAGCCCCCGGGUCCUCCCUCGGCCGCCGGGUCGUGGGUCACGUGGCCCCAGUGCCUCUCUGCGCACGCGCACUCGGCAGGGCCGCCACCCGGCUUGCGCACUCGGGACCAUUUCACCAGACGCGCGGAGUCAGCUCACCACCCCGGAGAGGAGGCUUCAGCCACUUUCGUUUUGGAGGUUUGCCGUGUAUCAGAAAAGGGAAGAAUUUCAACACAAAAAUUGUUCUUUAAGACACUAAUGCUUUUGCUACACCCACAUAUGAUGCCCUGCAUCUCUGCUGGCUACAGGGCAUUGCAGGGUACCUUGAACUGUUUCCUUAUUUACUGGGGAGACUUACCCCUUUUCAGUAGUUUUCUCCAUUUCUGUGCUCUCCGGCGAUGCGGCACGACCUGAGUUGAAGCCCUGGGGUAGUGUCUUCGAGGCCGUCGCCCUGGUCCUCCGAUCGUACUGAGUACCUCACUUAGAGAUCACCUUUGGCCUUUAUGGUCCCAGGGUUUGGCCACGUGGUUCCACCUCCUCUCCCCGGUCUCCUCAGUCUUCUGUAGUUUUGCAAGAGGAAGCUUCUUCGAGCCCAGAGGUCGUUAUAGGGUAGGACCACUCAGCCAUCCUCAGGGCCCUCACACACGAAGUGACCUUCCUUUACUGAACCUUCUGUUUCUCCGUUGUCUGGACCGUUUGCACCACAGAACCCUGAGGCUCCCCUGGGGAUGGGCAGGGUCUGUGUCUGCUCGUGGCAGAGGAGACCUCAGGCCUGUCGGUGGCCAGCCGGGUGGACUCAUUAGCGAAGGAGCCUUCAUCACUUAUGGUCUGUCCGGGUUUAAGCUGACACGUCAGCCCAGCUACGAGUACCUGAAGUCGUGUCUGCUGUAGGAGUGAGUCUCAAAGAUUCCUGAAGGAAACGUCUCUCUGAGUAAAUACUGUGUUCCAACAGACUUCCCAGAGCCCUGGGUGGGCCGACACGUAAUUCCUUGUCUCCCAGCAACACUGGCCAGAUGUAGGGUCAUGACUGGGUGCCCUGGCUUGUGGACUCUGACCAACUGAACUCCCAUCGAGCUGUGCUUGGCUCUGAUGGCUCGCCAGGUAGUGGAUUCCGUUCAUACCUUUGCCUCCCAGAGCGGCAUGAGCCAGUGAGACCUCCAGCUAUCUCCUCCCCUGUGCUGGUUGGGACAGGAGCAGAGGGUCAGGCUAGAAGGGGAAGAGAGUGUCCUUUUAGCAUCUUGCUCUCCUGUACCCUCCCCGUCUUGCUCCCGGUUAACUAGUCUCACCUACCAGUUCUCAAUCCCCACCCUCCUCAGCCUCUUGGUCACUUCUUCAGGGAGCACUCCCCAGGCACUCGUUCUCGUGGCUCCCUGGGUAUGUCCUUCCCAGCACCGAGGGCAGGAAGACCAUAGGUCAUGACAGAUUAUGUAGGUGACGGUGUACGUGAUUUCUACUUCACUAGUCUGGAAGCUCUUUGAGGCCGAAGCGGCUUCUGAUGUUUGAUCGUCACUGCAGCCAAGGCUUAGGUGUCUCCCAGAGCUCCUCUGGGGCCGGGCCCUCCUGGGACGCGGCAGAGCAGGGCAUCCAUGGCCAAGCCGUGCUGGUGGAGGACUCGGUCCUGCUAGCUCAGAGCCAGCCACAGGUGCAGGUGGGGGCAUCCUGCACUGUGUGUGGAAUCUGAGGCCGGACCCCUUGUGUGUGUGCAGACGGUGAGGGAGCGUGUUUGCGUCCCCGGCCUGGGGUUUAUGUUCCUGCUCUACUACCAUAACCAGGUGUGUGACCUUGGCAGUUUACAUAAUUAACCUCUUCAUCUACUAACCAGGAAGAAUAACACAUAUUUCAUGGGGUCCUGUGAAAAUUAGGUGCAAGGAGACCCAUAAAACAUCUUGUGUGGUA